rnacentral:rRNA from 1 species
GAUGAACGCUGGCGGCGUGCCUAAUACAUGCAAGUCGAGCGAACGGACGAGAAGCUUGCUUCUCUGAUGUUAGCGGCGGACGGGUGAGUAACACGUGGAUAACCUACCUAUAAGACUGGGAUAACUUCGGGAAACCGGAGCUAAUACCGGAUAAUAUUUUGAACCGCAUGGUUCAAAAGUGAAAGACGGUCUUGCUGUCACUUAUAGAUGGAUCCGCGCUGCAUUAGCUAGUUGGUAAGGUAACGGCUUACCAAGGCAACGAUGCAUAGCCGACCUGAGAGGGUGAUAGGCCACACUGGAACUGAGACACGGUCCAGACUCCUACGGGAGGCAGCAGUGGGGAAUCUUCCGCAAUGGGCGAAAGCCUGACGGAGCAACGCCGCGUGAGUGAUGAAGGUCUUCGGAUCGUAAAACUCUGUUAUUAGGGAAGAACAUAUGUGUAAGUAACUGUGCACAUCUUGACGGUACCUAAUCAGAAAGCCACGGCUAACUACGUG